CCCCCAAAGUCCAUUUGAUGGUACGACAGUGUUCAUAUGUGUGGAUGUAGCUCUGUAAUGAUAAAAAGGCCAGUGAAAAAGAAAAUAUAUAGUGUUAUAUAAAACCGGCGAUACUGACUAGGAUUUCGGAUAUGUUAAGUGGUUGAUAAAAAUCGUUACUGAUGCUAUUUUAACACGUUCCUGUGAUCUGCUGGAUGGCACGCAUGCCCACCAGUAGUUUUACUUACUUUCAAAUAUAUCACAAAUUGGAAACGACUUUAUACAUGCCCGCAUGUUACGGACCACAUGUCGUGUUCAAGUGUGUUUACGAUUUAUCAGUUACAUGUGUCACGAUCUGUAACGUUCUGACCCCAAACCUAACUAUGAUUACAGGUAUCACUUCCUCUUAGACUCUUUUGAACGCUCACGAUUUGGUCAUUUUUGAUACAGUCGUUACUGUUAUCAUACUUUACUGAAUAUGGACGUUCUAGAACGAGUAUUAACCUCCCAUACGUUCUAGAUUCCCACUAUCACACUUAUGGCCAUUAUUUAAAUCGUUGUGGCAAUAGUCGACUUAGCGUUUUGGUAUUACUCGAGAUUAACAUAUUAGCUUCAGAACUUCAGUUGUGGUCAAAAUAUACGAAGAAUCAACAAACCAAACCUAUACAAAAGUAACCCAUCGGAUCUUCAGCUAGACAGCGUAUGUGAAAAUGAAUACACACAAGGAACUUGCUAUUUGGAUCACUUUCUUCUUGAUUGGUGUGUUUGCCCUGGAAAUCCCACCUGAGUAUCAACUGAAGUGUCGACUCUGCAACAACGCUCUGGAGCUAAGAGAUUGCACAAAGCAGGAGAUUUGCGACAACAGGACCGAGGAAUGUUAUAUGGAGCAGGUGAUUACAGACGCGUUUACAAUUCAGUACAGAGGAGGCUGCAGAUCAAGUACA